GUUCUCUGGCAUCCCCUCAAUUACGGAUCAAUCUUUGGUCUUUUACAAAAUAUUGCCAUGUGGCGAUGUAAUAUAUUGAGUCUAAAAAGAUGGUUUUGUUUUAGGUCAUUGUUAAGGA
rnacentral:snRNA from 1 species